UUUAUUGGAGAGUUUGAUCCUGGCUCAGGAUGAACGCUGGCGGCGUGCCUAAUACAUGCAAGUCGAGCGAAUGGAUUGAGAGCUUGCUCUCAAGAAGUUAGCGGCGGACGGGUGAGUAACACGUGGGUAACCUGCCCAUAAGACUGGGAUAACUCCGGGAAACCGGGGCUAAUACCGGAUAACAUUUUGAACUGCAUGGUUCGAAAUUGAAAGGCGGCUUCGGCUGUCACUUAUGGAUGGACCCGCGUCGCAUUAGCUAGUUGGUGAGGUAACGGCUCACCAAGGCAACGAUGCGUAGCCGACCUGAGAGGGUGAUCGGCCACACUGGGACUGAGACACGGCCCAGACUCCUACGGGAGGCAGCAGUAGGGAAUCUUCCGCAAUGGACGAAAGUCUGACGGAGCAACGCCGCGUGAGUGAUGAAGGCUUUCGGGUCGUA
rnacentral:rRNA from 1 species